CUCAUUUGUAGAAACACUUAGGGUAAACAGUAAAUUGCCACAGAAAUAUCUGACAAAAAAUUAAUGUCCAUAACUAGAUGAAAACGUGUAAAAUUGAUUAUGGAAUUGAUAAAAAAAAGGGUUUGGUAUAGCAUUACGGCAGAACUAAUUUUGUUAUGAGAAACUGGACUAGGUACAGUGGCAUGUCAGAGUCUAAAGUUGUUUGUGUAAAAGUUUAGACUUCGCAC